GACGAACGCUGGCGGCGUGCUUAACACAUGCAAGUCGAACGCUGAAGACCUGGCUUUUGUUGGGUUGGAUGAGUGGCGAACGGGUGAGUAACACGUGAGUAACCUGCCCUCUUCUUUGGGAUAACGCCCGGAAACGGGUGCUAAUACUGGAUAUUCACUGAUCUUCGCAUGGGGGUUGGUGGAAAGGUUUGUUCUGGUGGGGGAUGGGCGCGCGGCCUAUCAGCUUGUUGGUGGGGUGAUGGCCUACCAAGGCUUUGACGGGUAGCCGGCCUGCGAGGGUGACCGGUCACAUUGGGACUGAGAUACGGCCCAGACUCCUACGGGAGGCAGCAGUGGGGAAUAUUGCACAAUGGGCGAAAGCCUGAUGCAGCGACGCCGCGUGAGGGAUGGAGGCCUUCGGGUUGUAAACCUCUUUCGCUCAUGGUCAAGCCGCAACUGUGGGUUGUGGUGAGGGUAGUGGGUAAAGAAGCGCCGGCUAACUACGUG
rnacentral:rRNA from 1 species